rnacentral:lncRNA from 1 species
CGCCACUCCAAAAUAGACCCUUUUGGCAUAAGGAUUGUUUUGAGCUGAAGGGGUCUGUUACAACUAAGGACUCAUGAAGGUGGAGGAAAAAAAAUGUUUUUUCUCCCUUAUAGUUCUUCUGCACAAGAUGGACCUCAGAGACAGUUUGUGUUUGACUGUGCUUUCCCCUUCAGAAGUUGAGCUGGGACACUGGCUCAAUUAGUGUUGGUUUCAGAAUUGGAAUGAAGAAUGAAAAGUCUCUUCUCUUCUUAGGAAAUAAUUUUUCCUUUGUGCAGAAAUGUAGAAAUGAGCACAUUCAUACCAAGAUUAAAAGUGCAACCCCAAGGCAAGGGACAAUGGUGAUGAGUGAAUAACGGGAAGAGAUGCAGUAAGGGAAGAGUGCUUUCAAAAAGAAUGGUGCCAAGAACAGUGGAAGAGGG